rfam:Myotis brandtii contig290526, whole genome shotgun sequence.
GGUGGUUCUCAGGUGACACCCCCUGAAAUCAGGCUCCCUCCUCUCUGGUUCCUGGUGCAUCACCCAAGAACUGCC